UUGACGGGAACCCGCACAAGCGGUGGAGUAUGUUGUUUUAAUUCGAAGAUACACGAGAAACCUUUACCAGGUCUUGACAUACCAUUGACAGGCGCAGAGAUUGUGCUCUCCUUCGGGCAAUGGAUACAGGUGGUGCAUGGUUGUCGUCAGCUCGUGCCGUGAGGUGUUGGGUUAAGUCCCGCAACGAGCGCAACCCUCAUUGUUAGUUACUACCAUUCAGUUGAGGACUCUAAUGAGACUGCCAACGAUAAGUUGGAGGAAGGUGGGGAUGACGUCAAAUCAUCAUGCCCUUUAUGACCUGGGCUACAAACGUACUACAAUGGCCAAUACAAAGAGAUGCGAAGCGGUGACGUGGAGCGAACCUCAGAAAGUUGGUCUCAGUUCAGAUUGAAGUCUGCAACUCGACUUCAUGAAGGCGGAAUCGCUAGUAAUCGCGGGUCAGCAGACCGCGGUGAAUACGUUCCCGGGUUUU
rnacentral:rRNA from 1 species